UACUAUUAUCCAUGUGUUAAGAAAUAAUAUUUAUUAUAGAAUAAAUAUUUGCUCAAUUUUAAUAGAUCAUAUAUUCGUUUAUGGUGUCUGUUUACUUAUAUAGUAGAUGAUUUAGUGUGUAGAGUUUUAGCUUAUACACAAAGGAUUAAAUCAUCGGUUCUUAUAAGUAUAAAGUUUUUUGUUCACAAUCUAGGAUGGAAAUUGGACAUGCCAUCGGUACGAUUGUAGCACAAGAUUAUAUGUAAUUUAUCUUGAUUAUGGGAACGGUAUAGUUCCAACUUCUUGUGCUAGUGCAUUUUGUA
rnacentral:lncRNA from 1 species